rnacentral:rRNA from 1 species
AUUGAACGCUGGCGGCAGGCCUAACACAUGCAAGUCGAGCGGAUGAUGGGAGCUUGCUCCCUGAUUUAGCGGCGGACGGGUGAGUAAUGCCUAGGAAUCUGCCAGGUAGUGGGGGAUAACGUUCCGAAAGGAACGCCAAUACCGCGUACGCCCUACGGGAGAAAUCAGGGGACCUUCGGGCCUUGCGCUUUCAGAUGAGCCUAGGUCGGAUUAGCUAGUUGGUGAGGUAAUGGCUCACCAAGGCGACGAUCCGUAACUGGUCUGAGAGGAUGAUCAGUCACACUGGAACUGAGACACGGUCCAGACUCCUACGGGAGGCAGCAGUGGGGAAUAUUGGACAAUGGGCGAAAGCCUGAUCCAGCCAUGCCGCGUGUGUGAAGAAGGUCUUCGGAUUGUAAAGCACUUUAAGUUGGGAGGAAGGGCAGUAAGUUAAUACCUUGCUGUUUUGACGUUACCGACAGAAUAAGCACCGGCUAACUUCGUGCCAGCCGCCGCCGUAACAC